GCAACAUUAAAGAUAAACACGACUCCUGAGAUAACAUUAGUUAAAAUAUUUCACAAAUUCUCACAGCUUUUAAAUCCUACAAUCCUUCCUCUUUUUGAAACUCUUUCCUCUUCCCCAAGUUUCAGCAAGACAAAAAAUAGAACAACACCUAUUAGCAGAUUUACCCAUUCCUCAGACGACCUCUUUCCACCAUCUCCACGGCGUAACCAAGUACUCCUCCAUUUUUCAUCCUUUUGUUCUCCAUUUCUUAGCCCUUUGUCGCUAGUAGAUUGGCAGCUUCAUUCUUUGUCCUUUUGCCAUGUAAGAACUUGCACAUCUAAAAAGCUUUACUUAGCCAAAGAUAGUCUCUAAUGAUAGCACUGAUCUCCAAUUUAUCAUCCUCAUCCUUUUGUAGUUUUUUCUUAUUACUGAUAAAGCAUCACUCUCGACCUCUACUGCCAUGACCCCUAGAUCCAACCACAUUUGAAGCCCUUGAGCACAUGCAAUAGUCCCUGCAGCAAAAACUGAAGGAACCCACACAUUUUGAACAACUCUAGACCCCAAUACCUUCCUUUACGAGUCCCUUCCAACAAUCCCAGAACAAAACCUGUGCUCAUCCUUUUUAAAUGCAUCAUCAAAGUUAAUUUUCACAAAGGGGCUCUUCGGUGGUUUCUACCUCUCUUCCACUCUCAACUUGACAGCACUGAUUCUAGGAAUUAUUCUCAAACAAUCAGUACUAGGAAGCUCGUAAAGGUUAGAGGUUGGUAGGAGCAUCAUCACACUAUCCAUCGGCUCAUUUUGGUAUAAAUGGUAAACUCAUUUUGGUUAUAAUGGCAUGUAUAGGUUAAUUAGCCAAAAUGUUGACAUGUAAAUAUUUGAUUGAUAAUAGCCAUUUGAAUGGCUUAUUUUGAUAUGUUUUGAUGUAUAUAUAAGUGUAUUUAUCAUGUUAAAAGUAUUAAUAUUGAUUAUACAUAUAUGCAUUUGGUUAUUUAGGUAAA